rnacentral:rRNA from 1 species
UACAGGGGGUGCAAACGUUGCUCGGAAUUAUUGGGCGUAAAGGGCGCGUAGGCGGCCAUGCGUGUCUUCCGUGAAAUCCCUCGGCUUAACUGAGGACGUGCGGAAGAAACUGCAAGGCUCGAGUCCGGGAGAGGGGGGUGGAAUUCCCAGUGUAGCGGUGAAAUGCGUAGAUAUUGGGAGGAACACCGGUGGCGAAGGCGGCCCCCUGGACCGGUACUGACGCUGAGGCGCGAAAGCGUGGGUAGCAAACGGG